rnacentral:lncRNA from 1 species
AAAUUUGGGCUCAGAAAUAUUGUUUAGGGAGCUGAAAGGAGAAAUAUUUCCUCCUGUCCUCCAACUGUGAUUUCGGGAGCUACUUCCUCGGACACACCAAAAUGAAUGUCUCUUUUCACUGUAAAUAUUUUGCAUUUGCAAGAGCUUUUUAUUUAAUUUAUUUAAUUUUCUUUUCUUACAGCCACCCACAGCACCAAUUUGAAAGCCGUCAUCACUGGGAAGCAAGUUUAAAACCAGCAUAACAAAUCCAAACCUAAGCAGCUUUCCUCAUGUUGCUCGCCACGUUUGAAAUCUGGAAAGCCCUCUCCUCCCACUGUUCCCUCCUGCAAGGUGUUCACAGCUGGUGGUGGGAAAUGGAGCACAUGGGAAGCAAGGGGAAAUCAAACUACUCCAAACGUUUCUUCACUGCAGUACAUCUGGUAUUUCACAGCUGGCAGCAGCUUGGGAGAGUGCGGAGCUGUGGACAGCUACACUACAUCGCAACUCACUGCUGGGAAUUAUUUUAAAGAGGCAGAAAUGCGGUGUUUCAAGCCCCAUAGCUUAUACAAAUAUCGCCAGAGAAAAUACAAGGAGAAAAAUUAAACACUGAUGUUGCAAGUACAGCUGUGCUUCUGCUUUGUUCUCUGGUUUAUGUUUACCCGAAGUGUGAUAAAAUGUUUGAAAAAUCUUGCCUUUGCAAAUGAGGUUUCCACAUGCUUUUCCCUAAGCCAUGCAAUAUGAAAUGAUCUUCACUGCUCAGGCAUGCAGUUUGGUGGGGCACUGCUGGGCUCAUCACUCAGCUAGCAAAUAGAAAUGGUCUUUAUCGCCAUAUUCAUUGGCCGUCCCUGGAUAACAUAAAUCAGGGCAAGGCAUGCUCCUCCAUAAUAAAUGCUAGUGCUGGUGCUCUGGAAGCUUCCCU